UGUCAUGGCGAGGUGGCCGAGUGGUCUAAGGCGCUGGUUUUAGGCACCAGUCCGAAAGGGCGUGGGUUCGAAUCCCACCCUCGUCAAAUAC